rnacentral:rRNA from 1 species
GGGAUUGCCUUAGUAACGGCGAGUGAAGCGGCAAUAGCUCAAAUUUGAAAUCUGGCUCUUUCAGAGUCCGAAUUGUAAUUUGUAGAGGAUGUUUCGGACAAGGUUGCGGUUUAAAUUCCUUGGAACAGGAUGUCAUAGAGGGUGAGAAUCCCGUCUUGAAUCGUAUACUGCGUCUAUGUGAAACUCCUUCGACGAGUCGAGUUGUUUGGGAAUGCAGCUCAAAAUGGGAGGUAAAUUUCUUCUAAAGCUAAAUAUUGGCCAGAGACCGAUAGCGCACAAGUAGAGUGAUCGAAAGAUGAAAAGCACUUUGAAAAGAGAGUUAAACAGUAUGUGAAAUUGUUGAAAGGGAAGCGCUUACAACCAGACUUGCGCGUAGGUAAUCACGAGUGGUUCGCUGCUCUGCACUUGCCUACGCUCAGGCCAGCAUCAGUUCUAGGGGUGGGAUAAAGGCCGUUGGAAUGUGGCUCUUCGGAGUGUUAUAGCCUUCGGUGCCAUGCCGCCUCCCGGGACUGAGGACCGCGCUUCGGCUAGGAUGCUGGCGUAAUGGUUGUAAGCGA